CCUGCUCUACAUUUUACUAAAAUAUAUUUGCAGUUUUUAUUUUAGACAAACUGCAUUUGUUAAAGCACAAUUAAAGUCUAAAUUUAAUCAAAUGUUCAAAUAUCGGAGCUAACUUAUCAUCGUGCGAUCUCUGUGCAGGCUGUGUGAGGCCAGAUGAGAGCAGUGCGGAGUGGCUGAUGAAGAACUUUGGUGCCUUCAGUGUCAUGGCCCGCAUGAAGGACUUUUCAGCGCUCAACGUGGUCUUCAGUGGAGUGAGUUAAACUGAGCCUUAUUUAAGAUUUUAGACAUUAUAAACUCCUGUUUUUAUGGUGAUCUAGACACUACUGAGAACUCCACCACACUGAGUAUCACUGCUCCACUUCCUGUUCUUCUUCUCUUACUCCUUUUUUUUUUCUUUCAACCACAGCUGGAGGUUCUUAACUUGUUGUCUCCAGCACAAAAGGCCGAGCUGCUCAUGAGCCCUGAGGUUGCCAAUUUAGACAAUGGCACAUUAGCUCUGGUCUUCCACAGUCUGCUAACAGGGGAAUCUGGCCCAUCACCCACUGAUGGCCCGGGAUGGGGUCCCAAAUGGACAACCCCUGGGUACCCACCCUCCUAUCCAGUACAGCUGUCACAUAACCAUCAGCCAGGCCUCCAACAGGUACAGUAACAGGAUGUGCAUCCACCUGCAAAAAUAAUUAAAUAUGUUUUCAUCUCUAGAAAAAAUAUUAAUAAAAGAGUUCAAUUGUGUAAAAUCUAACAACCUCUGCUUCAUUGCACAUCCAGGUCGUGAAUGGAUUCAUGUCAGCCUUCAAACCCAUCGGGAGCUUUGUUCAUAAUUUUGUGUCCUUCACACGUGAGAGAGAUGCGUCAAAUAUAAAAAGCACCACUUUGACCCAGUUCCUGCUCAACUGGACUCUGUCUGAGCUGGCUGGCAAAUACCGGCAGCCAAAUGCAUCUGUGGUCCCAGAGGGACCUCAGUUUGAUGUGACAAAUGUGGCAGACUGGUAUGAUUAUGUUGUGAAGCCGCUGUUACGGAGGUUUUUGCCCAAUGAAGAACUCCUGAUGCAUGAAAACAUCACGCUCGCUUUCCACGAAGUGUUCCGUCUGGACAACGGUAUGGACAACAUGACGGUGAAUGAAAUCCAGGAUGUCUGUAGCAUCACCCUUGAUAAGAGCCCUUGCGGGGUAAGGUCCAAUUUUCUUUUAUUUAUCUUUGAUUAUUAA
rnacentral:lncRNA from 1 species